rnacentral:lncRNA from 1 species
UUGGUAGUGUUUUUUCAGGUUCCUUUUCAUAGUCAAGAGGAUAAUACAUUCUUCUCUUUCAGAGUCUUAUCCUAUAGACAAGCAAUUAUAUGAGAUCUGAAAAAAAUACGUCACAAGAGUUGGAUCAGAGAUUCUUCAAAACUGAAACAGGGUCAGAGUUUCUUCUUUGGUGCCAGUGGACUCCAUGCAGUACCUGUUCCAUCCAGGAUGUAAUUGAAAGUAGAGACUAAAGGCGCCAGAGAGGGAUUUGGAGACAAAACUGGRUUUGAA